CCUACGGGUGGCAGCAGUGAGGAAUAUUGGUCAAUGGCCGGAAGGCUGAACCAGCCAAGCCGCGUGAAGGACGACGGUGCUACGGAUUGUAAACUUCUUUUGUCAGGGGGCAAAGACAGGCUCGAGAGCCUCCCCGAGGGUACUCGGAGAAAAAGCAUCGGCUAACUCCGUGCCAGCAGCCGCGGUAAUACGGAGGAUGCGAGCGUUAUCCGGAUUUAUUGGGUUUAAAGGGGGCGUAGGCGGACUGUCAAGUCAGCGGUAAAAGCGCGGGGCUCAACCCCUUCGAGCCGUUGAAACUGGGUGUCUUGAGUGGGCGAGAGGUAUGCGGAAUGCGAGGUGGAGCGGUGAAAUGCAUAGAUAUUGCGCAGAACUCCGAUUGCGAAGGCAGCGUACCGGCGGCGAUCUGACGCUGAGGCACGAAAGCGUGGGGAUCGAACAGGAUUAGAUACCCCGGUAGUC
rnacentral:rRNA from 1 species